CACAGACUGAAGCCACAGGUCAAUUCUCUCGACAUCCAUUUAAAAGUGAACCUUGUGAACAUAAACAAGAAUCAUUGCUUAAACAUCCAAGAUUAAACUGAAUGCAGAUGAAGAAUCAGCUAAAGAAGAAGCGAGGAGAAACAAGCAAGAGAGGGAGAUUGGGUAUUCAAACGCAGACGUGGUGGUGAAGCUCCAAGGUUGGGACCCGACACAUGCUAAGAGCGUGGCUCAGGCUUCAUUGAGUGCACUUAAGCAACUGAUCAUCUCAGACAAGGGACUUCCAGGUAAUAAAUAGAAGAAACUCAUUUGUAAAUUGAUGGUUUAAUAAUCUGAUAAACGUUUUGGGAUUAAAUGUGUCUUUUAUGAUAUCG
rnacentral:lncRNA from 1 species